UACGUAGGGAGCAAGCGUUGUCCGGAAUCAUUGGGCGUAAAGCGCGCGUAGGCGGCCCGAUAAGUCCGCUGUGAAAGUCAACGGCUCGACUGUUGGAUGCCGGUGGAUACUGUCGGGCUAGAGUACGGAAGAGGCAAGUGGAAUUCCUGGUGUAGCGGUGGAAUGCGCAGAUAUCAGGAGGAACACCUAUAACGAAGGCAGCUUGCUGGGACGUUACUGACGCUAAAGGCGCGAAAGCGUGGGGAGCGAACAGG
rnacentral:rRNA from 1 species